rnacentral:tRNA from 1 species
UUUUUUGAAGUGUUUCACAUUAUCUUUUCAAGAUAAAAAAGUUAAUAAUAACCUUACUAAAAGCGA